CACCCUGUCAAGAACAGUCUCUAUCGAGGACACAGUGACCCGUACCGCAAACCGACACCGGGGGUUGAGGAGAGUAUCCUAUGGCCAGCGAGAGACCUUGUGUUAAGGAACUCGGCAAAAUGACCCCGUAACUUAGGGUUAAGGGGUGCCACCAUCAGGUGGCCGCAGAGACUAGGCCCAAGCGACUGUUUACCAAAAACAUAGGUUUCUGCUAAGUCGCAAGACGAUGUAUAGGAGCUGACGCCUGCCCGGUGCUGGAAGGUUAAGGGGAUCUGUUAGAGCAAUCGAAGCAGUGAAAUUAAGCCCCAGGAAACGGCGGCCGUAAAUACAACGGUCCUACGGUAGCGAAAUUCCUUGUCGGGUACGUUGCGACCCGCAAGAAAGGCGCAACGACAUGGCCACUGUCUCGACAACAGACUCGGUGCAAUUGUAAUUCCGGUGAAGAGGCCGGA
rnacentral:rRNA from 1 species